UACGUAGGGUGCAAGCGUUGUCCGGAAUUAUUGGGCGUAAAGAGCUCGUAGGCGGCCUGUUGCGUCGGCUGUGAAAACCCGGGCUCAACUCCGGGCCUGCAGCCGAUACGGGCAGACUAGAGUUCGGCAGGGGAGACUGGAAUUCCUGGUGUAGCGGUGAAAUGCGCAGAUAUCAGGAGGAACACCGGUGGCGAAGGCGGAUCUCUGGGCCUUACCUGACGCUGAGGCGCGAAAGCUAGGGGAGCGAACAGG
rnacentral:rRNA from 1 species